rnacentral:ribozyme from 14 species
AGACGCAGACGAAGACGACGAAAGGGAAAGGGGAAAAGGAAGAUAGGGAUAUAUAUGAAAUUUGGGAUUUUUGCCAUUUUAUGGGAUUUUUAAGUUUUUCA